AUGGCAUGUUGAGGACAAUCGGCGCAAGGUUUCUUGAAUCUAUCCCAAGCUAGGUAAAAAUUCUCAUCAUUGCGUUGUCGAAAACUUGUAAUCCUUUGUCUCCCCUU
rnacentral:snoRNA from 1 species